AUGGUUUCCUUUGCUGUGCAGAAUUUAGUUAGUUGGAUGUAGUUCUGCUUAUUCUUCCUUUUGUGGCUUUGCUUUUUGGUGUCAUACCCAAAAAAUCAUUGCCAAAACCAGCGAUAAGGAACUUUCCACCUAUCUUAUCUUCUAGGAGUUUUAUGGUUUCAGGUCUUACAUUCAAGUCUUUAAUCCAUUUUGAAGUAAUUUUUGUGUGUGGUAUUGACCUCCAUUUUUGUCUGGUUGACCUAAACCUUAACUGCUGAAAUCAUUCCUGAUUUUACCAGGCAGAGGAAUUUCUCAAGAAUUAUAAAUGUAUAAUUUCUUGUCCAAAUUAGGAUAUUUGUGAGAGUGAAAAGGGGUGUUAUUGAUUAUUAAACUUGGACAAUAGAUAAUAGCUUGGGCUGUCCCAAGCAAACCAAGAUAUAUGGUUACCUUAGUGUGAGAACAUAAUUCUCCUUGGUUCUCUGAAGUUCUGCAUGUCUUAUGAACAUUGCCAUUGCCAGUCUUUUGUUCAGGACUGCUUUUUCAAGAUUGUCAGUAUGGCAAACAACCUCAGAUGAGGGUAUCUCUCUCUGGAGUAGAAAGAAAAGAUUGAGAGUUCUAAAUUUAGCGUUCCUCUUCUUUAGCACAUUCUACUCUGUGUGCAGGUGUCUCCUGGCCCUUCUUGUGUAAUCUUGUGGGAAUUGGGACUUGAAGAACUGGCUCAAGAAAAUGAUCUUCUCGUUACUGCUUUUUCUGUGUGUAAUAAACUGUCCUUUGUCUUUAAUCGAGGAGUCUUGUGUCUACUGCUAACCUCCAUGAAAUUGUGGCAUGCUGACUUGUUUGUUUGCUAAUAGGAAUGUCUUAUUGAAAGAAGAUAUGAAAUUGUGACUAGAAAAAAGCCAAAGGACUUUGAAGAGUGUGCCCUUGACCUCAAGUCCUUCCACAUAUAAACUAAGCUAAUUAGCUGCAGUGCUGUUGCAGUAUGGUACAACUUGGCAAUUGCUUCUCAGUGUUCAACGUGUUAUCUACAAUAGCUCAUGAAGCAGAGACACUUGAAACUUUCCUCUGUUGCCAGUGAGCAUGCAAGUUCUGCUCUUACAUUUGAUGCUGCAGGAAAGUUUUCACUCUUUUACUCUGACUUCCUAGGCCUGUGGAAUGAAGGUAGGCUAAAAAACUU